rnacentral:lncRNA from 1 species
GCGCGACCCCGGGGCUGAAGGAGCACAGGGGGCGAGCGGGAGGAGGGUACUUGGGCUGAGGCUUUGCCGAAGCAAUAGAAGUUUGCCAAGUGUAGGACAAGGAGCCGCAGGUGGGGGUCACGGCUUGUGCAAAGGCCUGGAGAUGUGAAAGCGGAUGCAUUUAGGGGGCACCUGGGAAGUCAGGUGGGGAGGAUGAACAGAAGGCGAAGGCAGGAACCCAAAGCGGUGACUCCAUGACUCCCGGAGUCUGUGGCUCAGGGGGUGAGAUGGGGACCCCAGGGAGGAGGAGCGGCAGGUGGAGGGAGCACAGGGCUGAGCAUCCAGGGGGUGGCCGGACAGCCUGACGCCCGGCCUGGGCUCUGGGGGAGGCCUAAGGAGGGAGAGAGAAGCGUUGGCAGAAGGUGGUCUCUGGUUCACAGCGAGGUGGUGGGUAAGGGGGCUGCAGGGCGCCUGGGGGAAGGGGACAAAGUGGAGAUGUCCCUGUGAGCAUCUGACCCCCGGCCAGCCUCAGAGCCAGCACAGGGAGAGACGAGGGCGGAGGGCGCCAUCCGCCGCUGCCUGGCUGUGGCUCAGGUCUGCUGUGUCCACUAGAGGAGGCAGCGGUCAGCGUGAAGGGCAGUGGCUCGGCCAGGUGGGGAGGAUGAGAGCCCAAACCGUCAGUCCACGGCUGGUCCCCGCCUGGGCGGAGGGCUCAAGACUGAGACAAGGGUCGAGGCUGGCAGUGUGGACAGGCGUGGCUGCCGAGGCGUGGAGCCAGCCUGGAGGCCGGGUCCGGGUGGUGGCUUUCGCACGGGGCCGCUCCUGCGGUGAUAAGGCAGCUGUGGGCGAGCAGGAGAAGGCAGGCGGAGCUGGGGGCCUGGACAGCUGGCUGCAAACGCGCUGCACACACCCCACACCCCAGACGCUUCCCAGAGGCCAGGAGGAUCAGCACAACGCGACUCCCACACGGGCCCCCUACAGCCGCCCCUGACAGUCAGCGGGUCGAUCCUGGACCCCGCCUGAAUGCCGGGCUCCCGGCUCUGCAACGCGGCGACCCCCAUACACAACCCCUGCCUCCCCCACAGAGCGGCCCCAACCCACGCUUUGCUACCAUCACGACCUCAAUCGACUCUGUGACCCUCAAAACGAACGGCACCGUGUUCUCACCCUGGGCCAAGACCUCCCUUAAGAAAACCACAAAAUUGAAAGUCACACCAGGCAGCUGGCGCUCACAUCCUCGGAGGCGCCGUGCCACCCGAGGCGGCGCCCUCCCCCGGCGGCGGGACAGGUGCAGGGGCCGGCGCGCCCCUCACGCGCCCCAUCGCUGCUGGGAAUGGGAAAAAGAGACUUCUUCAGGCUCACAGACAACUCUCUGUUUGUCCCGCGACACCAAGAAAGGAAAAAAAGAAGCACCGGGAGGUUCUGCUUGUCACCGGCUGCCGGUUCCUCACCCACACUGACCCCAGGAAGUGCUGCUGCCGCCCCCGCUUCUCAGCUGAGGCACCUGAGGCCCAGGGAAGGCCUGGGCGCCGCCUACCUGCACAGCUGGGCACCUGGGCCAUGGCCGACCCUCAGGGGUGUGUUGCCUGCUUGGGGGUGGGGGCCCCGAUGUGCCCACGGACCCACUGCAGACGUAGGUGUCUUCCCUGAGCCCCCAGCAGCUUCCCCGGGGAGGGGGCGCUCACUCCAUUUGUGCCACUCCUGUGGUGCCUGGAGAUGCCCCAGGUGCCAGGCGGGGGUCCUUGUCCUUGUCCCUGUGCCUGCAGAGAGCCUGUGUGUGUGUGUGACAUUCUGCAUGUGGGGCCAAGGUCAAGCGAGUGGCCAGGGCACGGGUGGGGUCAGCUCCUCCUGCCCCUGGAGGUGGGGGCUGUGGCCUCAGCCCUUCCCCGGGUUCAGACACCCAGUGGGUUGCAUGCCCCCAGCCCCCUCCAGGGCAAGCCUUGGGGUUUUCAUGAGCUGAGCAUGGGGGGGCCUCUGAGUGUGCAAAAGCUCUGGCAUUUCACAGACACCUGAUAGGUGUUGUAUGCGUGAAUGCAUGUUCUUGAUGUGUGCUGGCCUGUGCCUCAGUUUCCCCCAGUCGAAGGGGUCACCAUCC